rnacentral:misc_RNA from 1 species
UGGCUCUGGCAUCGAUGAAGAACGCAGCAAAAUGCGAUAAGUAGUGUGAAUUGCAGAAUUCAGUGAAUCAUCGAAUCUUUGAACGCACAUUGCGCCCUUUGGCAUUCCUUAGGGCAUGCCUGUUCGAGCGUCAUUUACACCCUCAAGCACAGCUUGGUGUUGGGCGUCUGUCCGGCUCUCUUGCCGGGCUCGCCUCGAAACGAUUGGCAGCCCCUCCGGCAGCUCCGGCGCAGCAGAAUUGCGUCCCGGGCGGCUCGGUGGGCGCUCUCCAGCAAGCCUUCUCAAGACUUUUGACCUCGGAUCAGGUAGGGAUACCCGCUGA